GUUCUAAACGAUUAGGAAUCAAUUCUAAAUGAGUUCUGAAUAUUUAGUUAGCGUUUAAGCGCUAAAUCCGUUACUUCGAUUAGCCCAGAAGGGAUUUUGCACAGAAUGAAACGGACAUUUUGGAUCUUUCAUUAUUGUUUAAAAAUUUGAAUUUCAUAUGAAUAUUAAAUUAUGUAGAUAGUAGUUUAGAAAACUUAAAAAAAAUUUGAGUAAACAAAAAUUGAGUUAACAGAUGUUUUAGGAGGAUUAACUUUUUGAUAAUGACCUUUAGACAUGCUUGUUUGUAUAUUAAAACAUGCUUGUUACCAUAUUUAAAAUCGUUAUUUAGUCUGAUUUUAUAAUGGCAUAAAAAACUAUACUUAGACUGUUAUUAAAAUAGACUAUUAGUCUAUAAUAAUUCGCAUAAAUAUCACAAAAAUUUGAAAAAAGGUUUAGUUAUGAAAGUUAUUAAGAUUGGUAUUAUUUAAUUGAAUUGAAGCAGUUUGUAUUACAGAAAAAAGUGGUUUUACAAGAUUUGAAAUAGUUUGUAUCAAACCAAGAAGUAGUUAAAAGAUUGCAAAAGAGAUCAUUCGUAUGAGUGCAAAAGCAGAGUAUAUGCGAAAAUAUAGAAAAGUUGUUAAAGAUGCAAAUAAUUGCUUUAAAUGUGAACCUCCUGUGUUAUCAAAUUCUUCAACUAAUGCAGAAAAUUUAUUCGCUUUAUCUUCUAUUGCAAAUAAUAUAACUGAUAAUUUAUUUAAUAGUGAUACCUAUAGACUUGACAUUGACAUAGUACCACCUUACAGUAGUUCCGAUGAAGAAAAUUGUGAUAUAGAUGAUAUUGACAUCGACAUAGUACCACCUAAUAGCAGCUCAGACGAUGAACAUUAUUGUGAUAUAGAAGUUGUUGGCAAUAGAUCUUUUCAAUACGAUCUAGCUCAAUGGGUUGUUAAUGCAAAACUCACACGUUUAUCAUGUAAUGGUUUGCUAGCCUUGUUGAGAAAACAUGGGUGCGAGCUGCCUAAAGAUAGCCGUACUCUUUUACAAACACCUCAAGCUAUACAGGUUCAGGAAAAAUGUGGUGGAAAAUACAUUUAUUUUGGCCUUACCAAAUGUUUACAGAAUUCAAUAAAUCAAGGCACUUGCAGCAAUAUACUCAAUCUGCAAAUAAAUGUUGACGGUAUAUCAUUGUUUAGAUCAUCGAAAAGACAAUUUUGGCCGAUUCUUUCUGCUGUUAAUCAUAGUUCACCCACAAUUGUUGCCUUAUAUCAAGGAGAUAGUAAGCCAAACUGUGUUAAAGAAUUCUUAAAGGAUUUUAUUGAUGAAUAUAAAUUUUUAAAAUGUAAUGGUGUCACUCAUGAUGGUAAAAAUUAUACAGUUAUUUUGCACUCAGUUAUUUGUGAUGCUCCAGCAAGAUCUUUUCUGAAAAAUAUUGUUGGUCACAAUAGCCUGCAUGCAUGUGAACGCUGUCUUGCUGUUGGUACAUCAACUAACAGGCGAACAACGUUUGUUUCUUCUGAUUGCUUCAAUGCUGGAAGGCGUACAGAUGACAGUUUUAAAAAUCUUGAAUUCCUUAGAAGUCAUCAACACGGAGCUUCGCCUUUCAAUGAAAUAACAGACCAAUGUAUCAGCAUUUUUCCACUUGACUAUAUGCAUUUGAUAUGCUUAGGUGUUGUACGUCGUAUACUUCAAACAUUGAAAAAAGGUAAUAGAAAAGUGAAAUUAAGCAACAACAACAUAUUGCAAGUUUCUGAAAACCUUUUGGAUUUACGAAAAUGCAUACCAAGUGAGUUUGUUAGACGCCCUAGAUCUUUGUUGGACCUUGAUAGAUGGAAAGCCACUGAAUUCCGGCAAUUCUUAUUAUACACAGGGCCUAUUGUCUUAAAGAGAAUUUUGAAUUCUGAGCUUUACAAACAUUUUUUAACACUUUCUGUUGGUGCAUCAAUUCUACUCACACCAUCAAAUGACAAAAGAAAUAACAUGUUGAACUAUGCAAAAGAUUUGCUUAGACAUUUUGUUGAGAAUUCUCAAAAAUUAUAUGGUAAUGAUUUUGUUGUAUACAAUAUUCAUCAUUUGCUGCAUAUAGGAGAUGAUGUAGAGUUUUUUGGUUUACCACUUGAUGAGAUCAGUGCUUUUCCUUUUGAAAAUUAUCUGCAAACAUUAAAAAGAUAUGUAAGAGGCUCUUCAAAUCCUGCUGUACAAGUAGCAAAAAGAAUUCAAGAAUAUGAAAAUGCCCAUAAAUACUCUGAAAUUACAAAUGCAACAACACCGGUCUUUAAAUUGUCAACAACAUAUAGAGAUUCAUUUGCACAACUAAAAAAUGGACAAUUUGUGGAGUAAAAUGUCAUAUCACCGGGCUGUUUGGUUGGAAGAAAAUCGUGAGGAAGAAGGAGUCUUGCCAUCCGCAUGGGUGCGGGGAAAAGUAGUUAUGUGGCCCCCAUCCAAAAUGAAUGCGUUUAAAUUAAUGAAAGAAGGAGUAGAACCUAAUGAAAAUUGGCGACUUUUUAAACUAAUAAAAAUAAAAAUUACUUCAGAUUGCUACGAGGAUUGUAAUAAUUAUGAUUUAACUACAGAAACUGAAGAAGAUAAUCAGCAAGUUU
rnacentral:misc_RNA from 1 species